GCGCGACAGAGCAUAAAGGUCACGGGAUAGGUUAUUGCAAAAUUUCCUAUUUUAUGGUUUAGCAUAAAAAUGCUAAAAGGGGUGGAAUGUAAUGGAAAAUUUUGGUAUAACACUGUCUGUUGCCUGUUUUCAUUCCUAUGCCGAGGUCAUGUUCCUUUGACACAGUGGCCUGGCAUGGUUGCCAGGGUGAUGGGUGAUGUUUUGUCUUUUCCAGCUCCAGAGUAUAAAAUAACCUGUCUAUAAUCUUCUUCAGCGCACUCAGGACUGUCGGUUCAUGUGACCGGUUGGACUGUGUGGCUCCGUUCAAUUGAAUGUUUGUCCUCUUUUCAUUAAAUCUUCGAAAGACAGCUGAGGUGUCCUGACAUUCUUUUUGAACAACAAUUUUUGCCACCACAACCACGAAGAUGCUGCUGUCCCGUCAGACAGCAACUGUAAAUCAAAGCUGACCAGGACCCACACGGGGAAGAAGGUUUCUACUGAGGAAAUGCCUCCAGAAGAUUCUGGUGUUACAAAGUCUUCCUCCACAAUUGAAGAUUUGGAACAGAUGGACACGGAGAAUCAGUUCUGCAGUCCAACUGAAAUGGAGACAGUUGUCAACAGUGAGAGGUGUCAGAAACAUAGCCUGGUGUGUGCAACUGUCUCCCCCUUGGACAAGUGUCUCCAGUGUGUGGGACCUGUGUCCUCCCUCAAGUGGCUUGGCUAUAAAUGCAGAGGUGA